GCCUGGAUGGCUUAUUUGGUAGAGAGUGCGACUCUUGAUCUCAGGAUUGUGGGUUCAAGCCCCAUGUCGGGUG
rnacentral:tRNA from 1 species